rnacentral:misc_RNA from 1 species
GAUGAAGAACGCAGCGAAAUGCGAUAAGUAAUGUGAAUUGCAGAAUUCAGUGAAUCAUCGAAUCUUUGAACGCACAUUGCGCCCUCUGGUAUUCCGGGAGGCAUGCCUGUUCGAGCGUCAUUAUAACCACUCAAGCUCUCGCUUGGUAUUGGAGUUCGCGAUCUCGCGGCUCCUAAAAUCAGUGGCGGUGCCUGUCGGCUCUACGCGUAGUAAUACUCCUCGCGAUUGAGUCCGGUAGGUUUACUUGCCAGCAACCCCCAAUUUUUACAGGUUGACCUCGGAUCAGGUAGGGAUACCCGCUGAACUUAAGCAUAUCAAUAAGCGGAGGA